rnacentral:rRNA from 1 species
CCUACGGGGGGCAGCAGUGGGGAAUAUUGCACAAUGGGGGGAACCCUGAUGCAGCAACGCCGCGUGAGUGAAGAAGUAUUUCGGUAUGUAAAGCUCUAUCAGCAGGGAAGAAGAUGACGGUACCUGAGUAAGAAGCCCCGGCAAACUACGUGCCAGCAGCCGCGGUAAUACGUAGGGGGCAAGCGUUAUCCGGAAUUACUGGGUGUAAAGGGAGGGUAGACGGGGAGGCAAGUCCGGCGUGAAAGCCCGGGGCUCAACCCCGGGACUGCUUUUGAAACUGGCUGGCUUGAGAGGUGGAGAGGCAAGCGGAAUGCCUAGUGUAGCGGUGAAAUGCGUAGAUAUUAGGAAGAACACCGAUGGCGAAGGCAGCAUACUGG